rnacentral:lncRNA from 1 species
CCUCAGAUGCCAUGUGGUACUGCUCAGACCUCACUGGAACAUUUAGUGCUCAGUGAUCAUUGUCCAGUCCACACUAUGUCCCAACCCAGGGGAUGCUGUGGAGUGCCAAGGGCCUCAGGUGUGGCAGAACAAGCUGUAGAUUUGGGGUGGCAACAUAUGGGCCAGAAAUUUGCUAGUGAAUUUCAUAAUGGCUUUUGUCCACAUCUUCUCUGGUCAACAGAUAAAACAUACCACAAGAGAUACUCACUUGGGACAUUUGGAACAUCAGCAUGUAAUGCCUUUCAGCCCUCAUGUUUUGGACUACAUACACCACUGGCCAAAGCACAGUGCACCAUGCAGCGAGAGGAUGUCCCUUGUGUUACAAUCAUACCUAGGCACUGUCUUUGCCUCAUUGUUUGUUAACUACCCUGAUAAAAUAUAAACUAUGUCUCUUA